rnacentral:rRNA from 1 species
UACGAAGGGGGCUAGCGUUGUUCGGAUUUACUGGGCGUAAAGCGCACGUAGGCGGAUCGUUAAGUCGGGGGUGAAAUCCUGGAGCUCAACUCCAGAACUGCCUUCGAUACUGGCGAGCUUGAGUCCGGAAGAGGUGAGUGGAACUCCUAGUGUAGAGGUGGAAUUCGUAGAUAUUCGCAAGAACACCAGUGGCGAAGGCGGCUCACUGGUCCGGUACUGACGCUGAGGUGCGAAAGCGUGGGGAGCAAACAGG